UACGUAGGUGGCAAGCGUUGUCCGGAAUUAUUGGGCGUAAAGCGCGCGCAGGUGGUUUCUUAAGUCUGAUGUGAAAGCCCACGGCUCAACCGUGGAGGGUCAUUGGAAACUGGGGAACUUGAGUGCAGAAGAGGAAAGUGGAAUUCCAAGUGUAGCGGUGAAAUGCGUAGAGAUUUGGAGGAACACCAGUGGCGAAGGCGACUUUCUGGUCUGUAACUGGCACUGAGGCGCGAAAGCGUGGGGAGCGAACAGG
rnacentral:rRNA from 1 species